rnacentral:rRNA from 1 species
AACGAACGCUGGCGGCAUGCCUAACACAUGCAAGUCGAACGAGACCUUCGGGUCUAGUGGCGCCCGGGUGCGUAACGCGUGGGAACCUGCCCUUAGGUUCGGAAUAACUCCCCGAAAGGGGUGCUAAUACCGGAUAAUGUCUUCGGACCAAAGAUUUAUCGCCUUUGGAUGGGCCCGCGUUGGAUUAGCUAGUUGGUAGGGUAAAAGCCUACCAAGGCGACGAUCCCUAGCUGGUCUGUGAGGAUGAUCAGCCCCACUGGGACUGAGACGCGGCCCAGACUCCGACGGGAGGAAGCAGUGGGGAAUAUUGGACAAGGGGCGAAAGCCUGAUUCAGCAAUGCCGCGUGAGUGAUGAAGGCCUUAGGGUUGGAAAGCUCUUUUACCCGGGAUGAUAAUGACAGUACCGGGAGAAUAAGCUCCGGCUAACUCCGUG